CCUACGGGGUGCACCAGUGGGGAAUAUUGCACAAUGGGCGCAAGCCCGAUGCAGCCAUGCCGCGUGUAUGAAGAAGGCCUUCGGGUUGUAAAGUACUUUCAGCGGGGAGGAAGGUGUUGUGGUUUAUAACCGCAGCAAUUGACGUUACCCGCAGAAGAAGCACCGGCUAACUCCGUGCCAGCAGCCGCGGUAAUACGGAGGGUGCAAGCGUUAAUCGGAAUUACUGGGCGUAAAGCGCACGCAGGCGGUCUGUCAAGUCGGGUGCGAAAUCCCCGGGCUCAACCUGGGAACUGCAUUCGAAACUGGCAGGCUAGAGUCUUGUAGAGGGGGGUAGAAUUCCAGGUGUAGCGGUGAAAUGCGUAGAGAUCUGGAGGAAAACCGGUGGCGAAGGCGGCCCCCUGGACAAAGACUGACGCUCAGGUGCGAAAGCGUGGGGAGCAAACAGGAUUAGAUACCCCGGUAGUC
rnacentral:rRNA from 1 species